rnacentral:SRP_RNA from 10 species
GCUGGGCAUGGUGGCAUGUGCCUGUAGUGCCAGCUACUCAGGAGGCUAAGGCAGGAGGAUCAUUUGAGUCCAAGAGUUCUGGGUUGUAAUGCACUGUGUCUAUCAGGUGUUUGCACUAAGUUCAGCAUCAAUAUAGUGACCUCCCAGGAGUGGGGGACCACCAAGUUGCCUAUGAACCAGCCCAGGUUGGAAAUGGAGCAGGUCAAAACUCCCAGGCUGAUCAGUAUUGGGACUGUACCUGUGAAUAGCCACUGCACUCCAGCCUGGGCAACACAGCGAGACCCUGUCU